rnacentral:rRNA from 1 species
AGUGAACGCUGGCGGUAGGCCUAACACAUGCAAGUCGAACGGCAGCACAGUAAGAGCUUGCUCUUACGGGUGGCGAGUGGCGGACGGGUGAGGAAUACAUCGGAAUCUACUUUUUCGUGGGGGAUAACGUAGGGAAACUUACGCUAAUACCGCAUACGACCUACGGGUGAAAGCAGGGGAUCUUCGGACCUUGCGCGAUUGAAUGAGCCGAUGUCGGAUUAGCUAGUUGGCGGGGUAAAGGCCCACCAAGGCGACGAUCCGUAGCUGGUCUGAGAGGAUGAUCAGCCACACUGGAACUGGGACACGGUCCAGACUCCUACGGAGGCAGCAGUGGGGAAUAUUGGACAAUGGGCGCAAGCCUGAUCCAGCCAUACCGCGUGGGUGAAGAAGGCCUUCGGGUUGUAAAGCCCUUUUGUUGGGAAAGAAAAGCAGCAGGUUAAUACCCCGCUGUUCUGACGGUACCCAAAGAAUAAGCACCGGCUAACUUCGUG